rnacentral:tRNA from 2 species
GCUAAUUAAGUGUUUUAUACAUCGCACAUUGACUUUUCACGUCAAAAGAGCACUCAGUGCAUUUAGCU